rnacentral:rRNA from 1 species
GAUGAACGCUGGCGGCGUGCCUAAUACAUGCAAGUCGAGCGCGAGAGUGAGGAGCUUGCUCCUCAUGAUCGAGCGGCGGACGGGUGAGUAACACGUAGGCAACCUACCCUUGAGAUUGGGAUAACUACCGGAAACGGUAGCUAAUACCGGAUACGACUUUUCCACAUAAGUGGAAUGGUUAAAAGGCGGAUUUAUCUGCCGCUCAUGGAUGGGCCUGCGGUGCAUUAGCUAGUUGGUGAGGUAGUGGCUCACCAAGGCGACGAUGCAUAGCCGACCUGAGAGGGUGAUCGGCCACACUGGGACUGAGACACGGCCCAGACUCCUACGGGAGGCAGCAGUAGUGAAUCUUCCGCAAUGGACGCAAGUCUGACGGAGCAACGCCGCGUGAGUGAUAAAGGGUUUCGGCUCGUAAAACUCUGUUGUUAAGGAAGAACACUUGAGGUAGUAACUGGCCUUGAGAUGACGGUACUUAACCAGAAAGCCACGGCUAACUACGUGCCAGCCGCCGCCGUAA